rnacentral:rRNA from 1 species
AGCAGCAGCCGCGGGAAUACAGAGGGUGCAAGCGUUAAUCGGAAUUACUGGGCGUAAAGCGCGCGUAGGUGGUUUGUUAAGUUGGAUGUGAAAUCCCCGGGCUCAACCUGGGAACUGCAUCCAAAACUGGCAAGCUAGAGUAUGGUAGAGGGUGGUGGAAUUUCCUGUGUAGCGGUGAAAUGCGUAGAUAUAGGAAGGAACACCAGUGGCGAAGGCGACCACCUGGACUGAUACUGACACUGAGGUGCGAAAGCGUGGGGAGCAAACAGGAUUAGAUACCCCAGUAGUCCCUGUCUCUUAUAC